AAGAAAUUAGUUAAAAUAUAACCUUAGUUUGUCAAACUAAAAUUAUUUAUUAUAUAAAUAUUUCUUA
rnacentral:tRNA from 1 species